rnacentral:lncRNA from 1 species
GAUCUCAGGUCUAAGGGACAGUUAUACCUAUAUCCCAUCAGAGACAUUCUCGACAGCAGAAUGCUCUGGAGUUGGUCACGUUCAAUGACGAUGUACCCUUACAUCUCACCUGUAUGCCAUACCAGUAUCUCCACACUCUUUGGUUAAGAGGACAACCAACCCAUAUGGCCUACAGCGACCUAUGCUCGAUAGAAGCUGUCAUCCUUAGUAACAGCCUAUCAUUUGGUCGUGAAUAGUUUUAAGGACUAAUCG